GCCUAUUAUAAUAAUUAUCAUUAAAACUACGAUAUUUAGGUAGGAGUAUUUUUUUAUUUGUUAUGCGUAAUAUGAUUUCAAUUAUAAAAGAUAAAUAGACACUGUAAGUCACAAAUAAUCAGCAUGGAAAGAUUAGAUAAAAAGUCAAAUUUUGCCGAUUGCCCUUAAAUAUGUAUUUGGUUACCCUUGUUUCUGUUUAGAGCAAAAACUAAAGAAACUAGAGAGAAACUAAACCGAGUUAAAUAUCAGUUACACAAGAUCAUUAAAAUAUAUGUAGUGAUGUGAUGUAUUUAAUAAAAACGAAAACAUUGAAUAAAGAUUCUUUGUUAAAUUAAUCAUGCACCCUUGCUGGUUUUAAAUUAGUGAAAAAUAAUAGUAUUGAACAACGGAUAGUCGGUGUAUGCACACGAGAGAGAUAUUAUAAAGGGAGGGAAUACAAUGAAUUAAUAUUAAAAGGAUUGUUUCCCUUUGAACAGUAAGUUAUAAAUUAUUUAAGUUGUUAUAUUGUUGACAGUAUGAAAAAAGCGCCUCCACUAAUUUGAUUUCAGGGUAAUUUUCUCCAAUUUGGAUGCAAUUUGGAUUGUGUCUGAUGUUCAUAUGAUGUAAUCAUAAUCUUUCAGUCAGUUUAAUUGAAGACUGGAGCUGGCAUGUCAGUUAACUGCUAGUAGUCUGUUGUUAUUUAUGUAUUAUUGUCAUUUUGUUUAUUUUCUUUGAUUACAUCUUCUGACAUCAGACUCGGACUUUUCUUGAACUGAAUUUCAAUGUGCGUAUUGUAAUGCGUUUACUUUUCUACAUUGGCUAGAGGUAUAGAGGGAGGGUUGAGAUCUCACAAACAUGUUUAACCCCACCGCAUUUUUGCGCCUGUCCCAAGUCAGGAUCCUCUGGCCUUUGUUAGUCUUGUAUUAUUUUAAUUUUAGUUUUUUGUGUACAAUUUGGAAAUUAGUAUGGCGUUCAUUAUCACUGAACUAGUAUAUAUUUGUUUAGGGGCCAGCUGAAGGACGCCUCCGGGUGCGGGAAUUUCUCGCUACAUUGGAGACCUGUUGGUGACCUUCUGCUGUUGUUUUUUAUAUGGUCGGGUUGUUGUCUCUUUGACACAUUACCCAUUUCCAUUCUCAAUUUUAAUUUUAUCAACUAUUACAAAUUAUUAAUGUU
rnacentral:lncRNA from 1 species